rnacentral:rRNA from 1 species
GACGAACGCUGGCGGCGUGCUUAACACAUGCAAGUCGAACGAUGAAGCCGGAGCUUGCUCUGGUGAAUUAGUGGCGAACGGGUGAGUAACACGUGAGUAACCUGCCCUUGACUCUGGAAUAACUGCGGGAAACUGUAGCUAAUACCGGAUACGACCCUCGGAGGCAUCUCCUGGGGGUGGAAAGAAUUUCGGUCAAGGAUGGACUCGCGGCCUUUCAGCUAGUUGGCGAGGUAAAGGCUCACCAAGGCGACGACGGGUAGCCGGCCUGAGAGGGUGUCCGGCCACACUGGGACUGAGACACGGCCCAGACUCCUACGGGAGGCAGCAGUGGGGAAUAUUGCACAAUGGGCGCAAGCCUGAUGCAGCAACGCCGCGUGAGGGAUGACGGCCUUCGGGUUGUAAACCUCUUUUAGCAGGGAAGAAGCGAAAGUGACGGUACCUGCAGAAAAAGCACCGGCUAACUACGUGCCAGCCGCCGCCGUAA